AUCCUAUGCUGCCGAGAAAAGCCUCUAGUGAGUUCAUACACGGCCCGUACCCCAAACCGACACAGGUGAUCAGGUAGAGAAUACCAAGGCGAUCGAGAGAACUGUGGUUAAGGAACUCGGCAAAAUGCCCCCGUAACUUCGGGAGAAGGGGGACCAUGCCCGGUGAACAUCUUCACGGUGGGAGCUGGGUGUGGUCGCAGAGACCAGAGAGAAGCGACUGUUUACUAAAAACACAGGUCCGUGCGAAGACGCAAGUCGAUGUAUACGGACUGACGCCUGCCCGGUGCUGGAAGGUUAAGAGGACCGGUUAGCCGUAAGGCGAAGCUGAGAAUUAAGCCCCAGUAAACGGCGGUGGUAACUAUAACCAUCCUAAGGUAGCGAAAUUCCUUGUCGGGUAAGUUCCGACCUGCACGAAUGGCGUAACGACUUCUCUGCUGUCUCGACCACAGACUCGGCGAAAUUGCACUACGAGUAAAGAUGCUCGUUACGCGCGGCAGGACGAAAAGACCCCGGGACCUUUACUAUAGCUUGGUAUUGGCGUUCGAUUCGGUUUGUGUAGGAUAGGUGGGAGACUGUGAAGCAUGCACGCCAGUGUGUGUGGAGUCGUUGUUGAAAUACCACUCUGAUCGUAUUGGACGUCUAACCUCGGCCCAUGAUCUGGGUUAGGGACAGUGCCUGGUGGGUAGUUUAACUGGGGCGGUUGCCUCCUAAAGAGUAACGGAGGCGCCCAAAGGUUCCCUCAGCCUGGAUGGCAAUCAGGUGUUGAGUGCAAGUGCACAAGGGAGCUAGACUGUGAGACUGACACGUCGAGCAGGGACGAAAGUCGGGACUAGUGAUCCGGCACCGGCAAGUGGAAGCGGUGUCGCUCAACGGAUAAAAGGUACCCCGGGGAUAACAGGCUGAUCUUCCCCAAGAGUCCAUAUCGACGGGAUGGUUUGGCACCUCGAUGUCGGCUCGUCGCAUCCUGGGGCUGGAGUAGGUCCCAAGGGUUGGGCUGUUCGCCCAUUAAAGCGGCACGCGAGCUGGGAUUAGAACGUCGUGAGACAGUUCGGUCUCUAUCCGCCGCGCGCGUAAGAAACUUGAGGAAGGCUGUCCCUAGUACGAGAGGACCGGGACGGACGAACCUCUGGUGUGCCAGUUGUUCCACCAGGAGCAUGGCUGGUUAGCUACGUUCGGAAGGGAUAACCGCUGAAAGCAUCUAAGCGGGAAGCCUGUUCCAAGAUGAGGUUUCUCACCACCUUGCGUGGUUAAGGCCCCCUACAGACCAUGGGGUUGAUAGGCCGGAACUGGAAGCGCAGCAAUGCGUGGAGGUGACCGGUACUAAUAGGCCGAGGGCUUAAA
rnacentral:rRNA from 1 species